GACGGGGGGUCCUAGCGUUGUUCGGAAUCAUUGGGCGUAAAGAGGGCGUAGGUGGCCAUGUAAGUUGGGAGUGAAAUCCCUGGGCUCAACCCAGGAAGUGCUCUCAAUACUGCUUGGCUUGAAUGUGGAAGAGGAUAGUGGAAUUCCAGGUGUAGUGGUGAAAUACGUAGAUAUCUGGAGGAACACCGGUGGCGAAGGCGGCUAUCUGGUCCAACAUUGACACUGAGGCCCGAAAGCGUGGGGAUCAAACAGG
rnacentral:rRNA from 1 species